UACGGGGGGAGCAAGCGUUGUUCGGAUUUACUGGGCGUAAAGGGCGCGUAGGCGGCCACCGCAAGUCGACUGUGAAAUCUCCGGGCUUAACUCGGAAAGGUCAGCCGAUACUGCGGGGCUAGAGUGCAGAAGGGGCAACUGGAAUUCCUGGUGUAGCGGUGAAAUGCGCAGAUAUCAGGAGGAACACCGGUGGCGAAGGCGGGUCUCUGGGCCGACACUGACGCUGAGGAGCGAAAGCGUGGGGAGCGAACAGG
rnacentral:rRNA from 1 species